UACGAAGGGGGCUAGCGUUGUUCGGAAUCACUGGGCGUAAAGGGCGCGUAGGCGGCUUUAUAAGUCGGGGGUGAAAGCCUGUGGCUCAACCACAGAAUUGCCUUCGAUACUGUAGAGCUUGAGACCGGAAGAGGUGAGUGGAACUGCGAGUGUAGAGGUGAAAUUCGUAGAUAUUCGCAAGAACACCAGUGGCGAAGGCGGCUCACUGGCCCGGUACUGACGCUGAGGUGCGAAAGCGUGGGGAGCAAACAGG
rnacentral:rRNA from 1 species